rnacentral:ribozyme from 1 species
UCAAAUAAAUAAAAGAAAAGGUCAAAUGAUAUCGCUGAAAAAAAAAAAGGAAAACAAGGUCUAAUCUGCCACUGAGCCCUCCUCCUUCACCCCCUUCUUGUCCUUGUCUACCGACUUUCCCUCUCCGCUGCUGCGC